rnacentral:rRNA from 1 species
UACGUAGGGGGCGAGCGUUGUCCGGAUUUAUUGGGCGUAAAGAGCUCGUAGGCGGCUUGGCAAGUCGGGUGUGAAACCUCCAGGCUCAACCUGGAGACGCCACUCGAUACUGCCAUGGCUAGAGUCCGGUAGGGGACCACGGAAUUCCUGGUGUAGCGGUGGAAUGCGCAGAUAUCAGGAGGAACACCGGUGGCGAAGGCGGGUCUCUGGGCAGUAACUGACGCUGGAGGAGCGAAAGCGUGGGGAGCGAACAGG